rnacentral:snRNA from 1 species
GUGCUCGCUUUGGCCGCACAUAUACUAAAAUUGGAAUGAUACAGAGAAGAUUAGCAUGGCCCCUGCACAAGGAUGACACACAAAUUCAUGAAGUGUUCCAUUUUUUU